GUAGCGGCACGUGGGUGCGAAUCCCACGCGCCGAUGGCCCAAGGUCGCCAGAGGAAGGCUCGUCCUCUCGGGGAUAGUCGGGACCUAAGGGGAGGCCGAAAGGCGUAGCCGAUGGACGACGGGUGGAUAUUCCCGUACCGGCGGCGUACCGUAAGAGCCGAACGGAUGAGUACUAACCUCCGGUCGCGUGGCGUCGUUCCCUUCGGGGUUCGGGGCGCGUGGCUGUUGGGAGCGUAGUCCUGGUAGGCUAGCGCACAGGGGUGACACGGAAUGGGAGCCGGCCGCGGAGGUGGUUUUCCGUGGUCAAGCACGCAGCCCGUCCCAUAGGCAAAUCCGUGGGACGCAUAGGGUGAGGUGUGAUGAUGGGCGUCCUUUGGACGCGAUAUCCGGUGGUCCAGGCCGUCGAGAAAAGCCUCGGCGCGAGGGGCGUCGCCGCCCGUACCCCAAACCGACACUGGUGGUCAGGUAGAGAAUACCAAGGCGAUCGAGCGAAUCCUGGUCAAGGAACUCGGCAAAUCACUCCCGUGCCUUCGGUAUAAGGGAGACCCCCGGGCGUGAAGAGGCUUGCCCUCGGAGCGUUGGGGGGUGGCACAGACCAGGGGGUAGCGACUGUUUACCAAAAACACAGGUGCAUGCGAAGGCGCAAGCCGCUGUAUAUGCACUGACGCCUGCCCGGUGCCGGAAGGUUAAGAGGAUCCGUCAGCCCCUUUUGGGGUGAAGCGGUGAAUUCAAGCCCCGGUAAACGGCGGUGGUAACUAUAACCAUCCUAAGGUAGCGAAAUUCCUUGUCGGGUAAGUUCCGACCUGCACGAAUGGCGUAACGAUCUCCACACUGUCUCGGCCAGAGACUCGGUGAAAUUGCAGUCGCGGUGAAAAUUCCGUGUACCCGCAGAAAGACGGAAAGACCCUGUGCACCUUUACUAUAGCUUGACAUUGGAUUUUGGGCCUGCAUGUGUAGGAUAGGUGGGAGGCUGCGAACCCUGUACGCCAGUAUGGGGGGAGCCAUCCUUGAAAUACCACCCUUGCAUGUUUAAGAUCCUAACUUCUUCCGGUUAUCCCGGAGAAAGACAGUGUCUGGCGGGUAGUUUGACUGGGGCGGUCGCCUCCUAAAGUGUAACGGAGGCAUGCAAAGGUUCCCUCAGCCUGAUCGGAAACCAGGCGCUGAGUGCAAACGCAUAAGGGAGCUUGACUGUAAGAGAGACAUCUCGAACAGGAACGAAAGUUGGCGUUAGUGAUCCGGUGGUCCCGAAUGGAAGGGCCAUCGCUCAUUGGAUAAAAGGUACGCCGGGGAUAACAGGCUGAUCGCAUCCAAGAGUUCACAUCGACGAUGCGGUUUGGCACCUCGAUGUCGGCUCAUCACAUCCUGGGGCUGAAGCAGGUCCCAAGGGUACGGCUGUUCGCCGUUUAAAGUGGUACGCGAGCUGGGUUUAAAACGUCGUGAGACAGUUUGGUCCCUAUCUUCUGUGGGCGAAGGAGAAUUGAGAGGGCCUGUCCCUAGUACGAGAGGACCGGGAUGGACGCACCCCUGGUGAUCCUGUUGUCGCGCCAGCGGCAUAGCAGGGUAGCUAUGUGCGGAAGGGAUAACCGCUGAAAGCAUCUAAGCGGGAAGCCUGCCUCAAGAUAAGUUCUCCCCUCGAAAGAGCUGAAGGGCCCGGGUAGACUACCCGGUCGAUAGGCUGGAGGUGUAAGCGCGGCGACGUGCUCAGCUGACCAGUACUAAUAGCCCGAGCGGCUUAUUUAU
rnacentral:rRNA from 1 species